UUCUAAUACAAAGCAAAAAAUUGGGGUCUUUCUUGGGAUAGCAAUUACUCUCACUUUGAAUCAACUUCUUGCUCUUUUCUGUGAUAUUUUUGAAGAGUGUUUCUCCUCUUGGAGGACGAUUACGCUGGUUAUAAAAGUUUUUGGCUGCCCCAAUGUUCUAUAUCUGCAGGUAAGAAUGUUGUUGAUGAAAUGAAGAGGUGAGAUUUGAGUAUUGCUGAGAAAAUAAAGUGAGGAGAUGAAAAUUGUGUUCUCGAAGCAUUAUAUGAUAUGCUUCAGAAAGAGGUUAUAGUUCUAUGCAAAGAAUGCCAUAAGGAAAAUCAUAGCCUCAAAGAUGAAUCAAUUGAGGUCCAUGCUUUGUUUCUUUGAACCCAACUAUAAUUCUUUUACAUCAAAAAAGUGUGAUAUGAACGCUGCUGAGAAAAUAAAGUUGGAAUGAGGUUUAUGUUUCCUCAUCGUUGUAUGAUAUGAUUUAGAAAGAGGUUGUAACUCUAUGCAAAGCUUGCACUGAGGAGAAUCAUUGCCUCAAACACAAAGAUGUUGGCAAAGAAGGUGGAAUAUUGAAAAAGGCAAUGGAAAUUGAGGUAAAAUAAUGCAUCGCAGUAAGAAAAUAUUCUGCAAUCCUGAAAGUCAAGGAGCACGAUAAAAGACUGUAAAGCGACGUAAAUCUGUCAAGGUUAUCAUUUCAGAUGUUAAAUCAACUAAAAGCGAAGAAGUGCCCCAAAAUCUCUUUAUGUUGUGCUUUUUGGAAUGCAAAAGAUUGGCUACUAAGGUGGGGAAGAUCCAGUUCCUAGAAAAUGAUAAUUUAGGAUAUGCAUGUGUUGUACUGAAAAUAUGGAUAAUAUAUGUAUUUUUUAGAGGUAUGAUGUAUGUAAUAAUUAAAUAUGGAUGGUUUCACUAGAUAAUGCACUUAUGUUAUAUAAACGAAUGCUAUUAAGCACAUAUAGUAGAACUCUUAUGCUAAAUCUCAAUUCUUGGAAGUAAUAUAGCUUAGGAAGUACUGAAUGAUC